UACGGGGGGAGCAAGCGUUGUUCGGAUUUACUGGGCGUAAAGGGCGCGUAGGCGGCCACCGCAAGUCGACUGUGAAAUCUCCGGGCUUAACCCGGAAAGGUCAGCCGAUACUGCGGGGCUAGAGUGCAGAAGGGGCAACUGGAAUUCUCGGUGUAGCGGUGAAAUGCGUAGAUAUCGAGAGGAACACCGGUGGCGAAGGCGAGUCCCUGGACAACACUGACACUGAGGCACGAAGCUAGGGGAGCAAACAGG
rnacentral:rRNA from 1 species